CACUGACCCUUCAGCUUGCUUCCUUGAGCUUCUGGCAAAGAUAUCUCUAAUGAGACAGAGGGGGUAUUUUUUUUUACUUAUUAACCCUUAAUAGGAAACAAUUAAGGCUUAAUAAGUACAUAGGGGUGUAUAUAAAAAAUACCCCUCUCUGUCUCAUUAGAGAUAUCUUUGCCAGAAGCUCAAGGAAGCAGGCUGAAGGGUCAGUGU